UCAUUGGAGCUGGAAAAGCACAUAAUCUUUCGAUGUCAGACAAGGUUUUUUGUCAAACUUCUUCUUUUCAUUUUUCCACAACACAAGUUCAGCUAUAAUUUAGUUUAGUGUUUUUUCCUUAUUUCAAUAUACACUAACUUGUUAUCUAUAUUUUCCCUUUUCUGCAUCAACUCCAAAAUGGAUGUACACAAGUUGUAAUUUCCAACACUACACGAGGAACAUUACUUACUGUUCGUCGUCAACAUCAAGGGUCGCACAUUUUAUUUUCUAGAUUCUUUCUAUGACGAGAAGAGCUCAUAUCAUAUGAACAUAAAAAAGAAGAUUAUCUCAAGCUUUAUAUGCACUUGGUACGAAGCUCGGCUCCAGCCAAUGGAUUUCAAUGCAUUCCCUGCUAUUUACCCUAAAGUCCCUCAACAAGAUAACGAUAUUGAUUGUGGCAUUUUCACUAUGAAACUAAUGGGAUGGUGCCCAAGGAAUCCAACCCCUAUCGUUUUUUCACCAAAAGAUGUCCCAGAUGCAAGGAUCCGAUAUGAUGUUGAUCUCAUGUUCAGCCACUACAACACUUUGGAUGACGAGAAGAAGCGUGUGAAGGAGUUCCGCCUAUAGACAUGAAAAAGUGCUGACAGCUCCUAAAAGACACCACUCAUAGAUGAUAAGAGGAGCUGUAUCAAGAGUCAUAUCAGCAAAAUCAAAGGAAAGAGGAGCUGCAUCAAACACAUAGUUAGCAAUUGUUAAAAAAUUUCGAGAUGUUUUUCUAUUUUUUGUAUGAACAGAGAAUGUAGACCCUUCUUGUUGCUGUAGACAUAUAUAUGCCCCCUCUAUUUUUUUGUUUGGUUGGGAAACAUGUGCUCCCGAAGGUACUUCUCCCCUAGUUUGUUCUUUCUCACUCGGUAAUGUGGUGAAACACAGGAACUAUAACAGUGUUUUUCCUCA